UUAUCCCUAAUAUCUGUUUCAGCAGGUGAAUCAGAGGCUGAAUCUCAGUGUGAAUAAAUCAAAGUGGAAAAGCCCAUCUCUUCCAAGCUAAGAAGAAACAAUCAAGAGAGACCUCUCUAUUCUUCAGUUUCAGAAGCUCCACACCUCCUUGCUCCCCUCAGCUCACCUCCUUUUCGAAGACAGCUUGCUGCUGACACCUCACUGCUGACUUCCACAGCCGGCCUCAGCAAACUGUCCCUGGCAAAGCCUCAUGCACUUGGAGAUAGACUCUCCCUCUGUUAAAGGCCAAGUUAAAAUUCUGUUUUGACCGUGAGAUUUCUCCAAAUAUUUCAACCACAGUCACCUCUCCUUUUGCCAUCUAAUUCAUUUAAUUCACCAACUGGUGCCAGGUACUAUAAGAGAUAUGAAGAUACAUCAGGUAUGAUUCCCGACCUCAAAGAGGUUUGAAUAUUUAUCACAUACUUUUGGAUUUGAGUGUAAUUUGUAUGUGUCAAAUGAAUGAAUGAAUGAAUGAGCUUAAUUAUAGCUUUGAUGACCUCUCAACUCAUUUUUCAUGAUAUUAAACACAACACAUAACUUCUUCCCAUAAUCUUCCUGGGAAGGCUUAUGAAAGA
rnacentral:lncRNA from 12 species